GGUUUGAAAGGAAAUGAAGUUUUUUGUGAUGGUGUGGGCAAUCCAAUCAGUGUUCAGAUUUAAUAUUGGCACCUGGUUUGUCCACUGAGGGCAGGAUACGCCUCUGAGAACACAGGGGUUAAAAGCUGUGAUCUCCCGGGGGAACUUCCUCUUGGAGUCCCGCUGGAGAGUGAGCAGACCCCCCCCCUGCCCAGAUCUGGCUGGGCAGGGGGGGAGGGGAGCCAUGUGGCCGGAGAGAGAGAGACUGCGUUCUAGGGGGAGGCGAUGGCUCAGAGCCAAGAGAGUGCAGUGAUGUGGAGGAGUGAACAGAGACGACGGGUGAGGAGGGUGUGGUGGUGCCCUCCACUUCGAAGAAGAGAAGAAGAAGAAGACGAUCUCUGUUCAAGAGACCCCUCGGCCCCAGGGGGUGAAAUUUGGGGGGGACAAGUGUCCCAGAAGGAGAAGGACUGUGCUCCCUUUGGAACUGGUCAAAGUAUCCUUAAAAUGAAAAACCCCAGAAGCAGCUCUGAUCCAUGUGCAGUGGUGAGAGCACUGGACAUGGAAGGCGUGUGGCGCAAGAGGGACUUCUCUCUCCUCAAGAGACUGAGAAUCGACUGUCUGAAGGGUGGCAAUGAAAUUGGAAAUUUGGUGGGGGGAGGAGGAAGAAUUUUGGAAGGUUUUCAUCUUAUGUUCUAUUGUGUUUUGUGUGUCUUCCUUUGUAGUUGUAGGUUAAUAAAUGCUUUUUUUUUUCCUUUUAACCUUAA